rnacentral:rRNA from 1 species
GUGGGGAAUUUUGGACAAUGGGCGCAAGCCUGAUCCAGCAAUGCCGCGUGCAGGAAGAAGGCCUUCGGGUUGUAAACUGCUUUUGUACGGAACGAAACGGUCCUGGUUAAUACCUGGGGCUAAUGACGGUACCGUAAGAAUAAGCACCGGCUAACUACGUGCCAGCAGCCGCGGUAAUACGUAGGGUGCGAGCGUUAAUCGGAAUUACUGGGCGUAAAGCGUGCGCAGGCGGUGCUGUAAGACAGGCGUGAAAUCCCCGGGCUCAACCUGGGAAUUGCGCUUGGGACUGCAGUGCUGGAGUACGGCAGAGGGGGAUGGAAUUCCGCGUGUAGCAGUGAAAUGCGUAGAUAUGCGGAGGAACACCGAUGGCGAAGGCAGUCCCCUGGGCCUGUACUGACGCUCAUGCACGAAAGCGUGGGGAGCAAACAGGAUUAGAAACCCUUGUAGUCC